rnacentral:rRNA from 1 species
GAUGAACGCUGGCGGCGUGCCUAAUACAUGCCAGUCGAGCGAACAGAUGAGAAGCUUGCUCCUCUGACGUUAGCGGCGGACGGGUGAGUAACACGUGGAUAACCUACCUAUAAGACUGGGAUAACUUCGGGAAACCGGAGCUAAUACCGGAUAAUAUAUUGAACCGCAUGGUUCAAUAGUGAAAGACGGUUUUGCUGUCACUUAUAGAUGGAUCCGCGCUGCAUUAGCUAGUUGGUAAGGUAACGGCUUACCAAGGCAACGAUGCGUAGCCGACCUGAGAGGGUGAUCGGCCACACUGGAACUGAGACACGGUCCAGACUCCUACGGGAGGCAGCAGUAGGGAAUCUUCCGCAAUGGGCGAAAGCCUGACGGAGCAACGCCGCGUGAGUGAUGAAGGUCUUCGGAUCGUAAAACUCUGUUAUUAGGGAAGAACAAAUGUGUAAGUAACUAUGCACGUCUUGACGGUACCUAAUCAGAAAGCCACGGCUAACUACGUG